rnacentral:rRNA from 1 species
GACGAACGCUGGCGGCGUGCUUAACACAUGCAAGUCGAACGGAAAGGCCCUGCUUUUGUGGGGUGCUCGAGUGGCGAACGGGUGAGUAACACGUGAGUAACCUGCCCUUGACUUUGGGAUAACUUCAGGAAACUGGGGCUAAUACCGGAUAGGAGCUCCUGCUGCAUGGUGGGGGUUGGAAAGUUUCGGCGGUUGGGGAUGGACUCGCGGCUUGUCAGCUUGUUGGUGGGGUAGUGGCUUACCAAGGCUUUGACGGGUAGCCGGCCUGAGAGGGUGACCGGCCACAUUGGGACUGAGAUACGGCCCAGACUCCUACGGGAGGCAGCAGUGGGGAAUAUGGCACAAUGGGCGGAAGCCUGAUGCAGCAACGCCGCGUGCGGGAUGACGGCCUUCGGGUUGUAAACCGCUUUCGCCUGUGACGAAGCGUGAGUGACGGUAAUGGGUAAAGAAGCACCGGCUAACUACGU